UCCUACUGGAGGCAGCAGUGGGGAAUAUUGGACAAUGGGGGCAACCGUGAUCCAGCAAUGCCGGGGGAGUGAUGAAGGCCUUAGGGUUGUAAAGCUCUUUCGCACGCGACAAUAAUGACGGUAGCGUGAGAAGAAGCCCCGGCUAACUUCGUGCCAGCAGCCGCGGUAAUACGAAGGGGGCGAGCGUUGUUCGGAAUUACUGGGCGUAAAGGGCGCGUAGGCGGCCCGAUCAGUCAGAUGUGAAAGCCCCGGGCUCAACCUGGGAACUGCAUUUGAUACUGUCGGGCGUGAGUUCCGGAGAGGAUGGUGGAAUUCCCAGUGUAGAGGUGAAAUUCGUAGAUAUUUGGAAGCCCACCGGUGGCGAAGGCGGGCAUCAGGUCGG
rnacentral:rRNA from 1 species